rnacentral:rRNA from 1 species
GCGUAAGGAGCGUAGGCGGGCAGUCAAGUCUGAUGUGAAAUCUAGAUGUGCGGUAAUGCAUUGGAAACUGGUUACCUAGAGAGGGAGGGGGAGAUGGAAUUAGUGGUGUAGGGGUAAAAUCCGUAGAUAUCACUAGGAAUACCGAAAGCGAAGGCGAUCUCCUGGAACAAUACUGACGCUAAGGCGUGAAAGCGUGGGGAGCAAACGGGAUUAGAUACCCCGGUAGUCCACGCCCUAAACGAUGUUCACUAGUCGUCGGAAUGCUAGUCAUUUCGGUGAUGCACUUAACAGAUUAAGUGAACCGCCUGGGGAGUACGGUCGCAAGAUUAAAACUCAAAGGAAUAGACGGGGACCCGCACAAGUGGUGGAGCAUGUGGUUUAAUUCGAAUUUUUUUUUUUAGAACCUUACCUAGCCUUGACAUUGAAGAAACACUUUAGAGAUAGAGUGGUGCCCUUCGGGGAAUCUGAAAACAGGUGCUGCACGGCUGUCGUCAGCUCGUGUCGUGAGAUGUUGGGUUAAGUCCCGCAACGAGCGCAACCCUCGUCCUUAGUUGCCAGCAGGUUAAGCUGGGCACUUUAAGGAGACUGCCUUCGCAAGGAGGAGGAAGGUGAGGACGACGUCAAGUCAUCAUGGCCCUUAUGGCUAGGGCUACACACGUGCUACAAUGGGGGCGUACAGAGAGUUGCGAUACCGCGAGGUGGAGCCAAUCUCAUAAAGCGUCUCUCAGUUCGGAUUGGAGUCUGCAACUCGACUCCAUGAAGCUGGAAUCACCUAGUAAUCGUAGAUCAGCAAUGCUACCGGUGGAAUUACGU